rnacentral:rRNA from 1 species
CCUACGGGUGGCAGCAGUAGGGAAUCUUUCACAAUGGGCGAAAGCCUGAUGGAGCAACGCCGCGUGCAGGAUGAAGGCCUUCGGGUUGUAAACUGCUUUUAUAAGCGAGAAAUAUGAUGGUAACUUAUGAAUAAGGAUCGGCUAACUACGUGCCAGCAGCCGCGGUCAUACGUAGGAUCCGAGCAUUAUCCGGAGUGACUGGGUGUAAAGAGUUGCGUAGGUGGCAUAAUAAGUAGCUAGUGAAAUCUGGUGGCUCAACCAUUCAGCCUAUUAGCUAAACUGUUAAGCUCGAGACCGUUAGGGGUAACUGGAAUUUCUAGUGUAGGAGUGAAAUGCGUAGAUAUUAGAAGGAACACCAAUAGCGUAGGCAGGUUACUGGGACGGUUCUGACACUAAGGCACGAAAGCGUAGGGAGCAAACGGGAUUAGAUACCCUUGUAGUC